UUACCGAAAGAACCAAGAAUAUGAAUCCCUGCAGUCACGAAAGCUUUAAAUCAAAAUAAAUAUUAUAUUUACACUGCAGGAGGAAUCCGAUGAGCUAUGAAGCUCUUUUUGUCACAGAUGCCCAGUUCGAGGGGGCGCGGGGUAAGAGCGUCACAACAGCAAACAGUACAAGGGAAGCAAAUCACCCAAACAAAGACAAAGACAACACUAAACCAUCCCCAUCCUACCAGGGAAAGCCCACUGAGGCAUUAACUUAUUUUUCAGAAGCGACCCGGCCAUCGAAAAUAAUAGUCACUCAACAAAGUGGCCCAUCGUUUGGACAUUUAUAGCACCUACGUUGAAGACAGAGAGCGAGAGAGACAGUCUCUUAGCAAAGGUUGCAGAGGUUCCCGUUGGCUAUGAUUUUUUUUCAUUCUAGAGACGGGGGGGGGGGGGGGGGUCCACUUCCAUCCUCCCGAGCCUUCGCGUCGUUUUCAGGGCGAGCGAGGUUCUCUCCGUGCGUGGCUCUCGGCUGUUGGGGGGCCAGACCCCCCACCGUGUUGGCGUUUGUAAAGUGCAUUUUAUAUACACACACAAACACACGAUUGUACCGCUUUCUUUUUAAAGCUUCUGCAUUAAGAAAAAGGGCUAGAAUUUAAAUCUAUGCAAUUGCGCGAAUGGACUUCACCCUCCUCAAGCAAUAGUGACGAACCCUUAACUGUCGAGAGAGCAAUGUCUUUUCUCCAUCACGAGCGUUUGUUAAGGGAUCCUCCAAGCGGGAGGAGGGCAACUACCGAGAUCUGCGAGACCUUUGCUAGAGGUUCUUUCGCGGCCAGUCGCUGUAAACCUUUACGGGUUUGGCCAGGAUUUGGCUAAUGUUCACCGGAUGAUUAAACCAGGGGGGAGCUGAGGUUUGUCAGCGACGCCCCAAACGAGCGGCAAUUAUUUUCCGAGCAAGGGAGGCAACAAAACCACGGUCGGCUUCCACGGAACGUCCGUCACCAUGAGCGACUGGCGCUCGCUCCGGAUCCUUGGUGAUCACGUGAAGUGUCAUCAAGGAGGCGCUCCGUAUCCUUGGUGAUCACGUGAAGUGUCUCAAGGAGGCGCUCCGUAUCCUUGGUGAUCACGUGAAGUGCCUCAAUGAAGCGCUGCGUAUCCUUGGUGAUCACGUGAAGUGUCUCAAGGAAGCGCUCCGUAUCCUUGGUGGUCACGUGAAGUGUCAUCAAGGAGGCGCUCCGUAUCCUUGGUGAUCACGUCAAGUGUCAUCAAGGAGGCGCUCCGUAUCCUUGGUGGUCACGUGAAGUGUCUCAAGGUAGCGCUACGUAUCCUUGGUGAUCACGUGAAGUGUCAUCAAGGAAGCGCUCCGUAUCCUUGGUGAUCACGUGAAGUGUCAUCAAGGAAGCGCUCCGUAUCCUUGGUGAUCACGUGAAGUGUCUCAAGGUAGCGCUCCGUAUCCUUGGUGGUCACAUGAAGUGUCAUCAAGGAGGCGCUCCGUAUCCUUGGUGAUCACGUGAAGUGUCAUCAAGGAAGCGCUCCGUAUCCUUGGUGAUCACGUGAAGUGUCAUCAAGGAAGCGCUCCGUAUCCUUGGUGAUCACGUGAAGUGUCAUCAAGGAGGCGCUCCGUAUCCUUGGUGAUCACGUGAAGUGUCUCAAGGUAGCGCUCCGUAUCCUUGGUGAUCACGUGAAGUGUCAUCAAGGUAGCGCUCCGUAUCCUUGGUGGUCACGUGAAGUGUCAUCAAGGAGGCGCUCCGUAUCCUUGGUGAUCACGUGAAGUGUCAUCAAGGUAGCGCUCCGUAUCCUUGGUGGUCACGUGAAGUGUCAUCAAGGAGGCGCUCCGUAUCCUUGGUGAUCACGUGAAGUGUCAUCAAGGAAGCGCUCCGUAUCCUUGGUGAUCACGUGAAGUGUCUCAAGGAGGCGCUCCGUAUCUUUGGUGAUCACGUGAAGUGUCUCAAGGAAGCGCUCCAUAUCCUUGGUGGUCACGUGAAGUGUCAUCAAGGAGGCGCUCCGUAUCCUUGGUGAUCACGUGAAGUGUCUCAAGGUAGCGCUCCGUAUCCUUGGUGAUCACGUGAAGUGUCUCAAGGUAGCGCUCCGUAUCCUUGGUGAUCACGUGAAGUGUCUCAAGGUAGCGCUCCGUAUCCUUGGUGGUCACGUGAAGUGUCUCAAGGAGGCGCUCCGUAUCCUUGGUGAUCACGUGAAGUGUCAUCAAGGUAGCGCUCCGUAUCCUUGGUGAUCACGUGAAGUGUCUCAAGGAAGCGCUCCGUAUCCUUGGUGAUCACGUGAAGUGUCUCAAGGUAGCGCUCCGUAUCCUUGGUGAUCACGUGAAGUGUCAUCAAGGAAGCGCUCCGUAUCCUUGGUGAUCACGUGAAGUGUCUCAAUGAAGCGCUCCAUAGCCUUGGUGAUCACGUGAAGUGUCUCAAGGAGGCGCUCCGUAUCCUUGGUGAUCACGUGAAGUGUCUCAAGGUGGCGCUCCGUAUCCUUGGUGAUCACGUGAAGUGUCUCAAGGUGGCGCUCCGUAUCCUUAGUGAUCACGUGAAGUGUCUCAAGGAAGCGCUCCGUAUCCUUGGUGAUCACGUGAAGUGUCUCAAGGUAGCACUCCGUAUCCUUGGUGAUCACGUGAAGUGUCAUCAAGGAAGUGCUCCAUAUCCUUGGUGAUCACGUGAAGUGUCUCAAGGAGGCGCUCCGUAUCCUUGGUGAUCACGUGAAGUGUCUCAAGGAGGCACUCCGUAUCCUUGGUGAUCACGUGAAGUGUCUCAAGGUAGCGCUCCGUAUCCUUGGUGAUCAUGUGAAGUGUCUCAAGGAGGCGCUCCGUAUCCUUGGUGGUCACGUGAAGUGUCUCAAGGUAGCGCUCCGUAUCCUUGGUGAUCACGUGAAGUGUCUCAAGGUAGCGCUCCGUAUCUUUGGUGAUCACGUGAAGUGUCUCAAGGUGGCGCUCCGUAUCCUUGGUGAUCACGUGAAGUGUCAUCAAGGAGGCGCUCCGUAUCCUUGGUGAUCACGUGAAGUGUCAUCAAGGAGGCGCUCCGUAUCCUUGGUGAUCACGUGAAGUGUCAUCAAGGUAGCGCUCCGUAUCUUUGGUGAUCACGUGAAGUGUCUCAAGGUGGCGCUCCGUAUCCUUGGUGAUCACGUGAAGUGUCAUCAAGGAGGCGCUCCGUAUCCUUGGUGAUCACAUGAAGUGUCUCAAGGUAGCGCUCCGUAUCCUUGGUGGUCACGUGAAGUGUCAUCAAGGUAGCAGUCUGGACGAGAGACGUUCCAUUUAAGCGUCGUGGCGAUGUACGCCCGGGCCGCCACGGAACAUUCCUCUGCCCCUCUGUUCCACAUCGAAGCACUUUUGAAAAUCGGCGUCUUCUCGGCGUUGCUGGAGUUUGUGUCGCGGUCCGCUUUGUUCGUCCGCGAAACCCGCCGUCGCCGUCUUGUUGGCGGGUAGGAAGUUUCGCGUCCCCAAAUUCCAGCGGGGGUUUGUCCCGUUGGAGCGCCUACGGUGAUGUUGGUGAGAGAAAAACAAAAAUGCUUUAAUUCACGUCGCGUCGCGGCUACCGCAACCGAGCGGCCCGCCGUUUCGUCUCUCAGCUCCACGUUCGUCGCCCCCCCCCCCAACAACCCCCCAUUCCAAACUUACGCGACUAGAGAGACGGGACAGCGAGCGGCGCAGGGCUUCUAGGCUAGCAGCGUCGAGAUAUAGGUCGCAUAAUACAGAUUUGGUUUUUUUUGGGGUUCGAUCGCGUAAAUAUAAAUGUGUCGUUAAACCCGCCACCACCCGACACGGCCAAUUGGUAAGGUUUGGCACGUGAAACAGAACGUGCCAAUUCGUCGCGUGUGGUGUGUUGCGUGGUGUGUGAGCGGUGCGGUGUGUGUGUGUGUGUGCUGGGUUUAACGACACGCACUCUUUGGUUCAGUCGGCAAAAGUCACGGAGGUAGAAAUACAAUUU